UUUUCCUCAGGAUAGCGGGCGAGUUCUAUUGGAUAAAGCCAAUGAUUAUAGGCAUCAAGGGCGGAACGCCCUCGACCUAUUCUCAAACUUUAAAUAGGUAGGGUCCAGCGGAUGGAAGAGCACCGCACGUUGCGUGGUGUUUAGUGUGCCU
rnacentral:ncRNA from 2 species